UACGGGGGGGGCAAGCGUUGUUCGGAAUUACUGGGCGUAAAGGGCUCGUAGGCGGCCAACUAAGUCAGACGUGAAAUCCCUCGGCUUAACCGGGGAACUGCGUCUGAUACUGGAUGGCUUGAGUUUGGGAGAGGGAUGCGGAAUUCCUGGUGUAGCGGUGAAAUGCGCAGAUAUCAGGAGGAACACCGGUGGCGAAGGCGGCUUGCUGGGCCAGUUCUGACGCUGAGGAGCGAAAGCGUGGGGAGCGAACAGG
rnacentral:rRNA from 1 species